rnacentral:rRNA from 1 species
GAUGAACGCUAGCGGCAGGCCUAAUACAUGCAAGACGAACGGUAAGUUGAGUAGCAAUACUUAGCCAAGAGUGUCGUACGGGUGCGUAACACGUAUGCAACCUACCCUAUACAGGAGGAUAGCCUAGGGAAACCUGGAUUAACCCUUCAUAGUAUUAUUGGAUGGCAUCAUUUGAUAAUUAAAACUGAGGUGGUAUAGGAUGGGCAUGCGUCUGAUUAGUUAGUUGGCGGGGUAAUGGCCCACCAAGACGAUGAUCAGUAGGGGUUCUGAGAGGAAGGUCCCCCACACUGGCACUGAGAUACGGGCCAGACUCCUACGGGGAGCAGCAGUAGGAAUAUUGGUCAAAUGGAUGCAAGUCUGAACCAGCCAUGCCGCGUGCAGGAAGAAGGCCUUCUGGGUUGUAAACUGCUUUUGCCAGGGGAUAAAAUUUCCAUGCGUGGAAAACUGAAGGUACCUGGUGAAUAAGCCACGGCUAACUACGUGCCAG